rnacentral:lncRNA from 10 species
UUAAUGGCUGAAUUCCAAGAAGCUUUCUGUUUGCACUGUCUGAUCUGUAGACUCUCUUCUGGCAUUGUUCAGGACUUUGAAGAAACAAAUGGGUGGGAGUUCAAGAUCGUUUGAGUUGGUUACUUAAGAAAUUAAUAUGAAGUAAGACCAAAUCUGGAAAUCAAGCACAUAACAUGACUAAUUUUGCCAUUUUCUGACGAUUUUUAGGUGUGAUAAAGAAAAUAUAUUUGCUAUUGCGUGGGGUUAGGCUAUGUAGUAAGUGGUAUUUCUUCUUUUAUUUAUUUUAAUUUUUAUUUAUAUAUAUUUCUUUAUUUUUCAGAUGGAGUUUCGCUCUUGUUGCCAAGGCUGGAGUGCAAUGUCAUGGUCUGGGCUCACUGUAACCUCCGCCACCUGGGUUCAAGCGAUUCUCCUGCCUCAGCCUCCUGAGUACCUGGGAUUAAAGGCGCGCUCCACCAUGCCAUGCUAAUUUUGUAUUUUUCGUAGAGACAGGGUUUCACCAUGUUGGCCAGGCUGGUCUCAAACUCCUGACCUCAGAUGAUUUGCCUGCCUUGGCCUCCCAAAGUGCUGGGAUUACAGGUGUGAGCCACCGUGCCCGGCCUUAAGUCGUAUUUCUUACAUUCAAAUCAUACCCCCAAUUCCAUCCCUGUAGAGGAGGGCUGGGGAGGAUCUUACGCAUCAAAUACCCUGAACUUAAGAGGAGUGAGGAGAAGAAAAAUAAA